rnacentral:pre_miRNA from 1 species
UUAAUACUCCCUCCGUCCGAAAAAGCUUGUCCCUCAAAUGGAUGUAUCUAGCAUCAAGUUAGUGCUAGAUACAUCCAUUUGAGGGACAAGCUUUUUCGGGCAGAGGGAGUAUUAC